ACCACCCAUCUUUGUCAGAAACCCACACCCGACACCCGAGCGCCAUAUCUUACCCAUACGAGAUUUAUCCUCUGUUUUCUCUACUGUGCCCUCUCUUCCCAUCUUCAAAGCUUGUGCUAGGGGGCUUCAGCGGUUUUUGUGGCAGAUGGCCGGUUUUUUGUUCUGAAAACUGGGUUUCGUUGGUGGGUUACUGGAGGUUGGGUUUCUGGAAGGAGGGAUUUCUAAAUUUUUUUUUCUUUUCUUCUGGGUUUUCCUUGGUGGAGUCGUUGUUGGUGUUUUAACGAAAAGGAGGAAGUGGUGGUUGGUAGUUUUGUCUUCUGAAAUUUUGAAGAUUGGAUGGAUGGAUGGAUAAGAGGAGGGUUGUUAGAGUACUAACCCCUCAAAAUGUUCAGUGUGGGAAUUCGGAAUUCUGAAGUUGGAAGGUGGGCUGUCCAAGUGAAGGAAGGACCAAGGAGGAUAAGAUUUGAAUGUGUGUUUGUUUGUUUUGCUCAAGGAGGAUAGAUUUAGACACAUCCAUUUUUUAGAUCGGCAGUUGGGAAUUUUACCUAGGUCGCCUUUGAUCACCGGGGUCAGCAAAACCACGCCUCUGUAGACGGAGAAGCUCUGGGGGAGGGCAGUUUGGGAGAGAAGAGAUCGGAAGAGGGUCUCGGCAGUUUGGGAGAGAAGAAAAUGGAAGAGAAGAGAUCGGAAGAGGAGAAGAGAUCGGCAGUUGGGGAUUUUACCUAGGUCACCUUCGAUCACCGGCAUCGGCAAAACCACCUCUCCUUAUAGAUAAAGAUCAGAUUCCAUAUGAGGAACACAGUCUCUGCAACUCCUUCAGUGGGAUUGCUCCCUGUUGUUCAGUAGGUCUGAGAUUUGAGCUUUCAUUUCACGACCUUACCUGGAGAGAAAAGUCAAAGCCGUUUCAUGAAAAUGUGAUCGGAUUUGGAAGCCGCGACGAAAAAUGCCGGUGAAAGGAGUGCAACGAACGAGGUGGGAAGAAAAGGGCAUAGUAGAGAAAAUAGAGGAAAAAAUCUCGUACAGGUAAGGGCAUGGCGGUCGGGUACGGAUUUUUAUUAAAGUCGGGUGUUUUUCUGGGAAAGACUGAUAACCGUUGGAUCCGUUUUGUACACAUGUCAACUUCCCAAGUAGACAUGGCAAGACAUGGGCAAUUGAGGAUAAUUGAGGAUAAGGAGAGGAGCCGGAUCUCUUUUAAGUUUGGUUGACUUUCAACAACUCCAGUAGAUGCCAUAACUUAAUUUUUGUUUUGUUUUAUUUAUUUAUUUAUUAUUAUUUUUUAAUAUACACAAGCUAUAAAACAGACAAGUCACA